rnacentral:sRNA from 14 species
AUACAAAUAACAAAAAAAAUACAUGCUAAAAAUAAUAAAAAAGGACUGCUUUCCUACUGAAGAUACCAAUUUCGCACCAAUUAGUCUUGAAGUUGUUUUUUCAUGAACACACAAAGGCCAACAAAAGGGAACGUUUUUUUUGUUAUU